rnacentral:ncRNA from 1 species
UGUCUCCUCCACCUCCUCCUUUGGUGGAUUCUUACCCGGGCCGAUGAAAGCAUCCGCCCGGGUAUUUUUUU